rnacentral:lncRNA from 1 species
UGUUAAUCUUUGUGUUUUUUGUUUGUUUGUUUUUGACAAGUACCCCUGCCUGUUGUGUAUGGUGUCUGAGAUUUCACUUCACCACACUUGUUGAUUAUAGGCAUGUGAAGACAGGGUACUACAUGGUGGGGGGGGUAGCAGAAACAGAUAGGAAUGACACAUCUUGGCUUCUACAAAGCUGGCGGUCUGCUUUGACAUAUCAACUUUGUGUCUCUCUUCCUCCUCCUAUCUUUUUGAGUGUUUCUGUGCAGACAGCCAUGGUAACUACUUCUCCAUGCCUGGAAAGCGUUAGCAGUCUUGUUCUUCUGGGAACACAACUCUGUACUCAUCCUCCGAACCAGAUGUGACUCAAGCCUGGGAAGACAAGUGCCAAAGAUCUGGUAUAGGUUACAUGAUGCCAGCAAAGCCAAUCAGAGGAUUUCUCAGGGACCGUUGCAUGGAUGGGAGGAGAAUAGUCCUUAAUGAGUGAAUUAUGAGAACCUAUAAUCUCUGCACUCAUUCCAGGCUGAGACAGAAGAUCCACCCCAUACCCCACCAAGGUUCAAGGCUUGUUUCUUAGCUGCUAGAGCCUUCACAAUCUCUUGUGGUGUUCUCGCCUCCUCAGACAUGACUUCAGAGGGAAAAAAAAUGAUUUAGGAAGAGGAAAAUCAAACUCUGCCUGGGGAGGCUGCCUGCUUGCUGUACGAAAUCACUCUCUGACAAGGAAGAAAAUGCUGUUUCAUUAAAAUUCAAAUAAGG